GACGAACGCUGGCGGCGUGCUUAACACAUGCAAGUCGAACGGAAAGGCCCCUUUGGGGGUACUCGAGUGGCGAACGGGUGAGUAACACGUGAGUAACCUGCCCUUGACUUCGGGAUAACUUCAGGAAACUGGGGCUAAUACCGGAUAGGAAUCCUUGCUGCAUGGUGGGGGUUGGAAAGCUUCGGCGGUUUUGGAUGGACUCGCGGCUUAUCAGCUUGUUGGUGGGGUAGUGGCUUACCAAGGCUUUGACGGGUAGCCGGCCUGAGAGGGCGACCGGCCACAUUGGGACUGAGAUACGGCCCAGACUCCGACGGGAGGCAGCAGUGGGGAAUAUUGCACAAUGGGCGGAAGCCGGAUGCAGCAACGCCGCGUGCGGGAGGACGGCCUUCGGGUUGGAAACCGCUUUCAGCAGGGGCGAAGCUUGUGGUGACGGUACCUGCAGAAGAAGCACCGGCUAACUACGUG
rnacentral:rRNA from 1 species